GAAAUAAGAUUUUAAAUGAGUGCUAAGAGAAUGAUUAAACAAUUAAAAGCUUUCUUUAAUUAAAAAAUUAAAUUUAAUUUUUUAGUGCAAAAGCAAAAAUAAAAUUUAGGGACAAGAAGACCCUAUGAAUUUUUAUUGUUAAUAAUUAAAAUUUAAGUUAUUAAUAAUUUAAUUGGGGCGAUAAAAAAAGAAUAAGUAUCUUUUUAGUUAUAAAAUAAGUUCCGUUUUUAGCGACUAAAUGAAAUAAAUACUCUAGGGAUAACAGCGUAAUAAUUUUGGAUAGUUCAUAUAGAUAAAAUAGUUUGCGACCUCGAUGUUGGAUUAGGAUUCUU
rnacentral:rRNA from 1 species